rnacentral:rRNA from 1 species
UAGGGAAUCUUCCGCAAUGGACGCAAGUCUGACGGAGCAACGCCGCGUGAGUGAAGAAGGAUUUCGGUUCGUAAAACUCUGUUGUUAGAGAAGAACAGCGCAUAGAGUAACUGUUAUGCGUGUGACGGUAUCUAACCAGAAAGCCACGGCUAACUACGUGCCAGCAGCCGCGGUAAUACGUAGGUGGCAAGCGUUGUCCGGAUUUAUUGGGCGUAAAGCGAGCGCAGGCGGUCAAUUAAGUCUGAUGUGAAAGCCCCCGGCUCAACCGGGGAGAGUCAUUGGAAAGUGGUUGACUUGAGUGCAGAAGAGGGGAGUGGAAUUCCAUGUGUAGCGGUGAAAUGCGUAGAUAUAUGGAGGAACACCAGUGGCGAAGGAGACUCUCUGGUCUGUAACUGACGCUGAGGCUCGAAAGCGUGGGUAGCAAACAGG